UGGGGAAUAUUGCACAAUGGGCGCAAGCCUGAUGCAGCCAUGCCGCGUGUGUGAAGAAGGCCUUCGGGUUGUAAAGCACUUUCAGCGAGGAGGAAGGUGGUGAGCUUAAUACGCUCAUCAAUUGACGUUACUCGCAGAAGAAGCACCGGCUAACUCCGUGCCAGCAGCCGCGGUAAUACGGAGGGUGCAAGCGUUAAUCGGAAUUACUGGGCGUAAAGCGCACGCAGGCGGUUUGUUAAGUCAGAUGUGAAAUCCCCGGGCUCAACCUGGGAACUGCAUUUGAAACUGGCAAGCUAGAGUCUCGUAGAGGGGGGUAGAAUUCCAGGUGUAGCGGUGAAAUGCGUAGAGAUCUGGAGGAAUACCGGUGGCGAAGGCGGCCCCCCUGGACGAAGACUGACGCUCAGGUGCGAAAGCGUGGGGCAGCAAAACAGGAUUAGAUACCCUGGUAGUCCACGCUGUAAAACGAUGUCGA
rnacentral:rRNA from 1 species